GACGAACGCUGGCGGCGUGCUUUAUACAUGCAAGUCGAACGAUGAAGUUCCUUCGGGAAUGGAUUAGUGGCGAACGGGUGAGGAACACGUGAGAAACCUGCCUUUCAUUCUGGGAUAACACCGGGAAACCGGUGCUAAUACCGGAUACUCCGUCUUGGCGGCAUCGCCGAGCCGGGAAAAAAUUUUGAUGAAAGAUGGUCUCGCGGCCUAUCAGCUAGUUGGUGAGGUAAUGGCUCACCAAGGCGACGACGGGUAGCCGGCCUGAGAGGGCGCGCGGCCACACUGGGACUGAGACGCGGCCCAGACUCCUACGGGAGGCAGCAGUAGGGAAUAUUGGGCAAUGGGCGCAAGCCUGACCCAGCGACGCCGCGUGAGGGAUGAAGGUCUUCGGAUUGUAAACCUCUUUCAGUAGGGAGGAAGCGAAAGUGACGGUACCUAAAGAAGAAGCACCGGCUAACUAUGUGCCAGCAGCCGCAGUAA
rnacentral:rRNA from 1 species